UUACAUGCAGUCGAGCGGAACGAGUUAUCUGAACCUUCGGGGAACGAUAACGGCGUCGAGCGGCGGACGGGUGAGUAAUGCCUAGGAAAUUGCCCUGAUGUGGGGGAUAACCAUUGGAAACGAUGGCUAAUACCGCAUAAUGCCUACGGGCCAAAGAGGGGGACCUUCGGGCCUCUCGCGUCAGGAUAUGCCUAGGUGGGAUUAGCUAGUUGGUGAGGUAAUGGCUCACCAAGGCGACGAUCCCUAGCUGGUCUGAGAGGAUGAUCAGCCACACUGGAACUGAGACACGGUCCAGACUCCUACGGGAGGCAGCAGUGGGGAAUAUUGCACAAUGGGCGCAAGCCUGAUGCAGCCAUGCCGCGUGUGUGAAGAAGGCCUUCGGGUUGUAAAGCACUUUCAGUCGUGAGGAAGGUGGUAUUGUUAAUAGCACUAUCAUUUGACGUUAGCGACAGAAGAAGCACCGGCUAACUCCGUGCCAGCAGCCGCGGUAAUACGGAGGGUGCGAGCGUUAAUCGGAAUUACUGGGCGUAAAGCGCAUGCAGGUGGUUUGUUAAGUCAGAUGUGAAAGCCCGGGGCUCAACCUCGGAAUAGCAUUUGAAACUGGCAGACUAGAGUACUGUAGAGGGGGGUAGAAUUUCAGGUGUAGCGGUGAAAUGCGUAGAGAUCUGAAGGAAUACCGGUGGCGAAGGCGGCCCCCUGGACAGAUACUGACACUCAGAUGCGAAAGCGUGGGGAGCAAACAGGAUUAGAUACCCUGGUAGUCCACGCCGUAGACGAUGUCUACUUGGAGGUUGUGGCCUUGAGCCGUGGCUUUCGGAGCUAACGCGUUAAGUAGACCGCCUGGGGAGUACGGUCGCAAGAUUAAAACUCAAAUGAAUUGACGGGGGCCCGCACAAGCGGUGGAGCAUGUGGUUUAAUUCGAUGCAACGCGAAGAACCCUUACCUACUCUUGACAUCCAGAGAACUUUCCAGAGAUGGAUUAGUGCCCUUC
rnacentral:rRNA from 1 species